UAGCUACUCCCUUCGUUCUAAAUUACUUGUCGCAAAUAUGGAUGUAUCUAGAUAUAUUUUAAUUCUAGAUAAAUCCAUUUCUGCGACGAGUAAUUUGAAAUGGAGAGAGUACAUC
rnacentral:pre_miRNA from 1 species